AACGAACGCUGGCGGCAGGCUUAACACAUGCAAGUCGAACGCCCCGCAAGGGUAGUGGCAGACGGGUGAGUAACGCGUGGGAAUCUACCCAGAUCUUCGGAACAACUGAGGGAAACUUCAGCUAAUACCGGAUACGCCCUACGGGGGAAAGAUUUAUCGGUUCUGGAUGAGCCCGCGUUGGAUUAGCUAGUUGGUGAGGUAACGGCUCACCAAGGCGACGAUCCAUAGCUGGUCUGAGAGGAUGAUCAGCCACACUGGGACUGAGACACGGCCCAGACUCCUACGGGAGGCAGCAGUGGGGAAUAUUGGACAAUGGGCGAAAGCCUGAUCCAGCCAUGCCGCGUGAGUGAUGAAGGCCUUAGGGUUGUAAAGCUCUUUCAGUAGGGAAGAUAAUGACGGUACCUACAGAAGAAGCCCCGGCUAACUUCGUGCCAGCCGCCGCAGUAAGAC
rnacentral:rRNA from 1 species